UACGGAAGGCAGCAGUGGGGAAUAUUGCACAAUGGGCGAAGGCCUGAUGCAGCUAUGCCGCGUGUAUGAAGAAGGCCUUAGGGUUGUAAAGUACUUUCAUCGGGGAGGAAAAACAAAACUAAUAAUUUUAUUUCUUGACGUUACCCGAAAAAGAAGCACCGGCUAACUCCGUGCCAGCAGCCGCGGUAAUACGGAGGGUGCUAGCGUUAAUCAGAAUUACUGGGCGUAAAGAGCACGUAGGUGGUUUUUUUAAAGUCAGAUGUGAAAUCCCUGGGCUUAACCUAGGAACUGCAUUUUGAAACUGAAAUACUAGAGUAUCGUAGAGGGAGGUAGAAUUCUAGGUGUAGCGGUGAAAUGCGUAGAUAUCUGGAGGAAUACCUGUGGCGAAAGCGGCCUCCUAAACGAAUACUGACACUGAGGUGCGAAAGCGUGGGGAGCAAACAGGGAUUAGAUACC
rnacentral:rRNA from 1 species